UCCUGGCUCAGGACGAACGCUGGCGGCGUGCCUAAUACAUGCAAGUCGAGCGAACAGAAAAGGAGCUUGCUCCUUUGACGUUAGCGGCGGACGGGUGAGUAACACGUGGGCAACCUACCCUAUAGUUUGGGAUAACUCCGGGAAACCGGGGCUAAUACCGAAUAAUCUCUUUUGCUUCAUGGUNAAAGACUGAAAGACGGUUUCGGCUGUCGCUAUAGGAUGGGCCCGCGGCGCAUUAGCUAGUUGGUGAGGUAACGGCUCACCAAGGCGACGAUGCGUAGCCGACCUGAGAGGGUGAUCGGCCACACUGGGACUGAGACACGGCCCAGACUCCUACGGGAGGCAGCAGUAGGGAAUCUUCCACAAUGGGCGAAAGCCUGAUGGAGCAACGCCGCGUGAGUGAAGAAGGUUUUCGGAUCGUAAAACUCUGUUGUAAGGGAAGAACAAGUACAGUAGUAACUGGCUGUACCUUGACGGUACCUUAUUAGAAAGCCACGGCUAACUACGUGCCAGCAGGCCCGCGG
rnacentral:rRNA from 1 species